rnacentral:rRNA from 1 species
GAUGAACGCUGGCGGCGUGCCUAAUACAUGCAAGUCGAGCGAACAGACGAGGAGCUUGCUCCUCUGACGUUAGCGGCGGACGGGUGAGUAACACGUGGAUAACCUACCUAUAAGACUGGGAUAACUUCGGGAAACCGGAGCUAAUACCGGAUAAUAUAUUGAACCGCAUGGUUCAAUAGUGAAAGACGGUUUUGCUGUCACUUAUAGAUGGAUCCGCGCCGCAUUAGCUAGUUGGUAAGGUAACGGCUUACCAAGGCAACGAUGCGUAUCCGACCUGAGAGGGUGAUCGGCCACACUGGAACUGAGACACGGUCCAGACUCCUACGGGAGGCAGCAGUAGGGAAUCUUCCGCAAAGGGCGAAAGCUUGACGGAGCAACGCCGCGUGAGUGAUGAAGGUCUUCGGAUCGUAAAACUCUGUUAUUAGGGAAGAACAAAUGUGUAAGUAACUAUGCACGUCUUGACGGUACCUAAUCAGAAAGCCACGGCUAACUACGUG